CACUCCUACGGGAGGCAGCAGUGGGGAAUUUUGGACAAUGGGCGAAAGCCUGAUCCAGCAAUGCCGCGUGAGUGAAGAAGGCCUUCGGGUUGUAAAGCUCUUUUGUCAGGGAAGAAACGGUGAAAGCUAAUAUCUUUUGCUAAUGACGGUACCUGAAGAAUAAGCACCGGCUAACUACGUGCCAGCAGCCGCGGUAAUACGUAGGGUGCAAGCGUUAAUCGGAAUUACUGGGCGUAAAGCGUGCGCAGGCGGUUUUGUAAGUCUGAUGUGAAAUCCCCGGGCUCAACCUGGGAAUUGCAUUGGAGACUGCAAGGCUAGAAUCUGGCAGAGGGGGGUAGAAUUCCACGUGUAGCAGUGAAAUGCGUAGAUAUGUGGAGGAACACCGAUGGCGAAGGCAGCCCCCUGGGUCAAGAUUGACGCUCAUGCACGAAAGCGUGGGGAGCAAACAGGAUUAGAAACCCUGUAGUCC
rnacentral:rRNA from 1 species